rnacentral:rRNA from 1 species
CCUACGGGAGGCAGCAGUAGGGAAUUUUCCGCAAUGGGCGAAAGCCUGACGGAGCAAUACCGCGUGAGGGAUGACGGCCUGUGGGUUGUAAACCUCUUUUCUCAAGGAAGAAGUUCUGACGGUACUUGAGGAAUAAGCAUCGGCUAACUCUGUGCCAGCAGCCGCGGUAAUACAGAGGAUGCAAGCGUUAUCCGGAAUUACUGGGCAUAAAGCGUCUGUAGGUGGUUUGGUAAGUCUGCUGUUAAAGACUGGGGCUCAACCCCAGAAAAGCAGUGGAAACUGCCAGACUUGAGUGUGGUAGAGGUAGAAGGAAUUCCUAGUGUAGCGGUGAAAUGCGUAGAUAUUAGGAAGAACACCAAUGGCGAAGGCAUUCUACUGGACCAUAACUGACACUGAGAGACGACAGCUAGGGGAGCAAAUGGGAUUAGAUACCCCAGUAGUCCUAGCCGUAAACGAUGGAUACUAGAUGUUGCACGUAUUAACCCGUGCAGUAUCGUAGCUAAGGCGUUAAGUAUCCCGCCUGGGAAGUACGCUCGCAAGAGUGAAACUCAAAAUGAAUUGACCGGNNGAGAGNGCGAGACGACACGAGGAGAG